GACGAACGCUGGCGGCGUGCCUAAUACAUGCAAGUAGAACGCACAGUUUAUACCGUAGCUUGCUACACCAUAGACUGUGAGUUGCGAACGGGUGAGUAACGCGUAGGUAACCUGCCUGGUAGCGGGGGAUAACUAUUGGAAACGAUAGCUAAUACCGCAUAAUAUUGAUUAUUGCAUGAUAAUUAAUUGAAAGAUGCAAUUGCACCACUACCAGAUGGACCUGCGUUGUAUUAGCUAGUAGGUGAGGUAACGGCUCACCUAGGCGACGAUACAUAGCCGACCUGAGAGGGUGAUCGGCCACACUGGGACUGAGACACGGCCCAGACUCCUACGGGAGGCAGCAGUAGGGAAUCUUCGGCAAUGGACGAAAGUCUGACCGAGCAACGCCGCGUGAGUGAAGAAGGUUUUCGGAUCGUAAAGCUCUGUUGUAAGAGAAGAACGGGUGUGAGAGUGGAAAGUUCACACUGUGACGGUAUCUUACCAGAAAGGGACGGCUAACUACGUG
rnacentral:rRNA from 1 species